GAUCCAUACAGAGCUGAAAAUGAAUGAAAUAUUUAGGAUGCUUUGUUUAUCUUUCUGUUGUUAUCACUCCCAGUGAAACAGCCAUGUCACCAAGAGCUAGGAGAGUUCCAGCUGAAUUCCUGAUGAACUUUUUUUGACCUUCUAUGCAGUGUGUCAGCUUUUCCCUGUGGCUGGAUUAUGUAUGGCUGUCUCAGCAUCCACCAUACAUUGUGAUCAUCAUGGUCUUGUCUUUGCUCUCGGAUAGAAUGGCAGCAUAAUUGCAGAAUCCCAGAAUGGUUUGGGUUGGAAGCAACCUUAAAGAUCAUUUAUUUUAAACAAUUUCCACUAUCCCAAUUUGCUCCAAGCCCCAUCCAACCUAGCCUGGAACACUUCCAAGGAUACAGGGGCAGCCACAGAUUCUCUGAACAACCUGGAAGUGGCUCACCAUCCCCAGAGGGAACUCUUUUUAUCCAUGAAAUAAUUAAUAUGUUUUUUUUAGUUGGUCUGUUUGUGUACCUCUCCCAUAGAAAGUGUUUAAUUAGAGCAGCUUUAAUGUUGUUUCAUUCAAAAGGAUCUUGCUAGAUAAAGUAGUCAGUUGUGAAGACUCAAGAAUAAAUUAAGAAUCCUCCUCAGACAGAAAUGUAGCUAAUUAAAUCAAGCUUAACAUAAUUAGACUCAUAUCUAGAGUAAAGGUAAGAGAGAUUGUGAUAAAAAUGAAGCUGUUCAGCUCAGACUGUGAUAUUGUUACUGUAAGUUUGAGAAUCCUCAAAAUCAUCAUUUCUAAUCCCUGGGAAUAUCAUCCUCUUUGAGAAGCCUUGACGUAGGAAGCCUAAAAAGUGUCCUGAAACAGUAAUUUUGGAAGACAGUGGCAAUUUUUCUCUAUCCCAAUCUUUAGGCUCUGCAGAAUCUUUCUCUUUGCUGUCUGAUCUAUGUUUUCAGGAGUCAUUAGUGCCAAGAGCUUUCUAAUGUAGGUAAAUUAACAGCUCCAAAUGAUUUAUGGGAAAGUUUCAUGGCAAGUGUUGGGAAAGAUCCAAUCUUCAAAAGAGACCAGAGGACCCAACAAUUUUUGUUUCUACUUCCUAAUAAAUGAUCAGAUUUUGAGGAGGGCACAGUGCCAGCUUUCCUCUGUGCCAUCUUCUCUUCGUUCUUCUCAGCUAGAACUACUGGUUCCAGAGAGCUUUCAUGUAUUUUAGCUAGGCUCAUAAAUGGCAAUGUACAUUGUAAAUGAUCUUAUUCUAAGAAAAAUGAAGACAAGGCCACAGUGGUGAUUAUGACAGAAAGAAAAAGAAAGCAGAAAAUAUCCUUUAAGAUCUAUGACAAGAUAAUGCAGUCUUUAGGCAUGGUAAAUUUGCACAUUUUUCUCUUAAUUCUAUCCAAGUGCCAGGUCAGUGUUAAGAUUAAUCAAAAAUAUUCUUCAGAAACUGUUUGCUAAACUUUUCUCUCUAACCUACUUUCAACUCCACAGGGCGAGGAGCUGAAUGUAAGCAUUUCAAUCUAUUUAUGAUCAUUAAAUAUUGAGAAUGUUGAAAGCAGUAAUGAAAUGCCCACUAUAUUAAGUGUUCUUGAGAAGUUACUAGAGCUGAUAGUUUUAUUGGGUUUGAAUAGCUAAGCAAGUCGUUAUCUCCUGCAAUUGCACCUAUUGGAAUUGUUCUCUCAGGUGGUUUGUGAGAAGUGACUGCAGUGGAAUUGCUGGGAGCAACACCCAAUACUGUGGUUUACUUUUUGUUUAGAUUUGAUACUAAACCUCCAAGGACAACAAAAUCUUUUUACCUUGCAGAGAUGCCUGUUUAGUUUAAUUCCAAACAGACUUCUCCCUGUGGAAGCAGUUACUCUAGCAAGGGGGUUUGGUAGGUUCUAUUCUGCAAAAUAUAACCCCAGGGAGGUCUGUCUGCUUUCAAAGAUAUUCCCUCAUUAAAGAAGAAUUUGGAGAAACAAGCUGGCCACAGAAUUAAGGAGGAAAAUAAUUUUUAGUCAUCUGUCAUGUCUCUACUGCCUUCCCCUCUUGCUGUGUGCUCAGUCUAAGUUUUGUGUCUAGUUAGGAGCCACAUAUCUUGGAUGAUGGAGCUGUCAACCAAGGAAGUUAACUUUCUUUACUUUCCCUUUCAGGGUCUGGUAGCCCCAUCUGAGAGCAAAGGUUUGGAAAGUUCUGGCAGUUCUCUUCGUUGAGCACAUCACUGGUGCAAAUAACAGCAGGUCCAGUAACCUUGUGGUGGAACAGGAUAUUGGAUGAUAUAUCUUACAGGAAAAUCCCUGAUCAGGAGAUACAAAAGCUUCCUGGAAAUUGCAUAAAUUAAGACAGUUUCAGGCCGGGAACAUUCUCAUUCUUCUCACCUCACCAAGGCUGGUGACCUCUGACCUUCUGCUUGGCUGUAAUUGCUGCCUUUCAUAGAUUUUUUGAGAGAUUGCUGUUUUACAUUUAACACUCCUCUGCCUACCUAAUAUAGUACUGAUCAAGCCAGCCAGGAAGACCAAGCAAGAUAAAUAAGAUGCUUAAUUUGCACAUCAGAAACUUCAGGCAAGCUAAUUUUAAGAGGACAUUUUUAUAAACUAAAAUGGCACUGUGCACAUAUUAGUAAUUGCCAGUUCCACAAAAUUAUUAAUGAUAGAUGAGCUCUGGGCUUGGAAUCUUUGCAUAAGUUAGUGUUUGAAGGCUGUGCCAUGAAACACAGACAACAAAACUCAUUAGAAAACAUAUCUCAUAAUAGUCAAUAUUAUUGUAAUUUAUAUUAUUUUUUCUCCAUCACUCUCCAUACAAAAAUAUAUUAACCAACAGUCGUAAUACAGAUUAGUCACAUUGUGAAUACUCUUCCCAAAAAAUAAGUUGAUUUUAGCAAUCUGAAAACAGAACAAUGUAUUCCUGGACAUGCUACUGUCUCACAUUGUUCAUCCCUUAAGGGUUCCCAUUUUCCUGACAUGGCUUCAACACUGCACUGUUUAGAUAACAUUUUUGGGUGAGUUUGUGUUCUUGCAUCUCCUCUCCUUGGUCCUUCUAUCCCUUCUAAACACAUUCUGCCUUUCCACAUCUUCUAUCCUUUAUUUACCUUGGGAGUCAGCAAAAACCUACAAAGAACAUCAAAAAUAUGUGUUCUGCAGGUGGUUUAAAUAGCUACUUGAUUUUGGCCUGAUCUCUCCCUCUCCCACAUAGGAAUACAUGAGGAUCAAGGUUGCGUUGUCCAGAUCUGCUUCCAGACCCUGGUUCCAAGCUCUUCCCCAAAGUUUUCCAAAGACUGUUGCCAGGCACAAAAUUGGCCCUGUGAUGUUCUCUGUGUGUGAACACAAUUCAGAGCUGCUUUAUCUCUUCCAAUAAACCUUAGAAAAAGUGUUCUGGCAUAUUUUUUAACAGACAGAUUUUCAGAUAUUUUUCCACUUUUUUUUUUCCCCAGACUUUUCUCGGUUUGAACUUUCCAUCACACAUAAAGACAAACCUUCUGUUUGUUUAGUUCUUAUCAGUGUGAAUUUUAAUAUCAAUGGAGAUGAUAGACUGACAAUGUUUGGUUGCUUUGUGCUUCACAAUUGUGUACACCUUGAACAUACAUGUCGUAUUAUGAAUACAAAAUUAUAUGUGGAUAUUUUUAGUGAUGUUACUGAUUUUAAAAUUUUCUGAAAAUUGCCUUGAGAACCCUUUAAAUCAGAUUCUUGUGUGGCAUUUCUUGCAAUGCUGAAGAGAUAAAAUACUGGCCAUCUAUAAAAUUGUGCACUUUUUUUUUCUGUUUCAGAAACAGGUUUUAUUCUUUGCAUCUCAUUUACACAUUGCUGAGUGUCACAGUAUAUCGCAGUACAAGCUCAUUUGUACUGGGCAAUUAAUUCAGUUAUAGAUAAGAGACCCAGCUGGCCCCUGGGUUGACUGACAGGUUGGGCAAACCUUUUCCAACCAAGUUCUUGGCCCUGAUCAAGCCCUGAACCUGGCUGGUAAAGGAAACAUAUACUAUUAGACCUAGAUAAUUCUGUGCAAACUUUGCAAAAGCUAACCCUUUUUCCUUUAGGAUAAAAAGGAAACCUUGUCUGGAAGAGGUUCUUUCAAGUUCUCGUUGUGAAAAAAGAAAUACCUCAGCAAUAGUAGACCCCAGCUGCAGACAUCUCACUGGUCGGGGACCUGGGCAGUGUUAAAAGAUCAGACCAAUGGGGUUAUGCCGGUAAAUCCCCUUUAUAAAGAGGGGCUCAAGGGACAAGCUCUCUCUGUUGCCACGUGGACAUCAGGUGAGACCCCACCUGCAGAGCUGCCCCAGCCCUGGGCCCAGCACAGCAAGGAGCUGGAGCUGCUGCAGAGAGCCCAGAGGAGGCACCAGGAUGAGCAGAGAGAUGGAGCAGCUCUGCUGGGAGGAAAGGCUGGCACAGCUGGCAUUGUUCACUGCACAGGAGAAGCUUUGGGAAAAUUUGCUCUCCUGAGACACCCAAUGCAAUAAACUGGGUGGCAGAGCACAGCCUGAGAGGGCACAGCGCAAAGUGUUUCAUUUUUCCACUCCUGUCCUUGACUGGUACAAAUGGCUCCACACCAGAAGGCUCUGGCCUCCUCUGAGGAAGAUGAGGGCACAGUUCAACCCUCUGCAGGAAUUCCACUCAGGAGACUCACUCAAAGCACUUUGGCAGCCUUUUGAAGCCACUGAGGAGUCAGAGCGCCACAUCCAGGGAAGGCAGAACAUGGAAGGCUGUUGGGAAGAACUUUGAAGUGCUUUUAGAAUCUUGAGAGUCUCAUCGAGAGCCUGAUGGGGUUUAUUUUGUUGUGAAAUCACUGCUGCCCAGGGAGAUUUCUUGGAGCUGCUGGAAGCAGACAGCACUUCUAAAAAUGUCAGCAAUGGAGCCCUUUGCUGUGGGGAAUAAGCAAUAAGGUUUCACUGAGCAUCCCGGUGCAGCUACAGACCUGCUGCUGGAAAUGGCUAAGCAAGAAGAUAAUGGUUCAAAAGGAAAACACGUCACUGAGAAUUAACUACAUAUGUACAACACGGUCCAGUCUUUGCUGUUGGCAUAAAUGAUUAGGAAAUCAGGUGGUAAACUAAAUGCUGAUUGAACUGCUUUCCUCAGGACUGCUGUUGCUGAUAAUCCCAAUAUUCUUUGCAGCAUUAGUUGAUUACAUCUCUUGUUUGAAAUAAACUCCUCUCAGAUUACAAAGGAAAAACUGAGUAUGGAAAGUUAACAUACAUUGUAAUGGUUCGCUGGUCUUCAUUAUUAGGGGAAUUUGGAGAGCGUUAAUUAUGAAUUUAUAUUUGCUGCAAAUUCAUCUGUUGCCAUUCCUCUGGGAUUCAGGAAGUGUUGAUCACAGUAUUUUGUCAUUACCAGACCAACUGGUAAUGACAAAAGCCACAGAGAGCUGGCUGAACUGAGACUGGAAUUCGGCACCUGGAGCCUCAUCCUGCUUGAAAAGGAACCUCUGCACAAAAGAGAGUGAUGUUUUGGAGAAAAAUAUUGAGUCUGCCCAAACUGAACUACUUGGCAAUUUACGUAACUGAAGUGGUGCCUGGGAGAUGACAGAGACAACUGGGACACAGGAAAUCCUCCUUAGGAUCAACUGAAGGAGAAAGGGAAGCAGCACAGAAAAUUCAGAGCCCAUCUUUCUCAUCACUGGCACAGGAAAUCCUAAAGUAAAUCAGGUUUUUUAAAUGGUGAAAGCAUAUUGUGGAUAUGAGAUUUGUAAUUCCCAGGAGAGCUCUGGGGACCAACAUCAGUAAUUGCUACCUGAUCACUCUUCCUUUACCAUGAAGUAACUGCGCAAACUAAGAGAGUUAAUGCUGCACACCAGUCCCCACCUGUUCCACAUCACCAACUCCUGGCCAGGGUGCAGCAACAGCUUUGGCUUCAGGACAUUGGUGUGAACUUGUGCCAGCCUCCCGUUGUGCCACUCUGGCUGAGGAGAGCACUCAAAGAAGCCAUUUGAACACCAAGUAUUGGAUAUUCUGUAUUUGGAUGAGCCAGCUUUACUCUGCCAUCCCUUUGGAGCUCCCUGGGCUUAUAGACAACAUGGAAAAUUAUUCUCAGUUCCCUUUUCAGAUCCAGUGUUUUCCUGGUUUGCUAAAGAGCAGAUUUGUUCUUUGAGUUUUUCAUAUCCUUCCUGUGCCCUGAUGUUAAAAACUCUGGAGAGGCAUUGCUUCAUGAUGAUGUCAGUGUCAG